GACGAACGCUGGCGGCGUGCUUAACACAUGCAAGUCGAACGAAGUGGCGAACGGGUGAGUAACGCGUAAUCCACCUGCCCUUCAGAGGGGAACAACAGGUGGAAACGACUGCUAAUACAGCAUACUGAAGGAGGGGAUUGCGUUUGUUUGGCGAGUUGGGGGGGUAACGGCCCACCAAGGCGAUGAUCAGUAGCCGGUCUGGGAGGAUGGACGGCCACAUUGGGACUGGGACAUGGCCCAGACUCCUACGGGAGGCAGCAGUGGGGAAUCUUCCGCAAUGGACGAAAGUCUGACGGAGCAACGCCGCGUGAGUGGUGACGGCCUUCGGGUUGUAAAGCUCUGUUAAUCGGGACGCGGUACCGGAAUAGAAAGCCACGGCUAACUACGUGCCAGCAGCCGCGGUAAUUC
rnacentral:rRNA from 1 species